rnacentral:rRNA from 1 species
UACGGAGGGGGCCAGCGUUGCUCGGAAUCACUGGGCGUAAAGGGCUCGUAGGCGGUCUGAUAAGUCCUGUGUGAAAUCCCUUGGCUUAACCAAGGAACUGCGCCGGAUACUGUCGGACUUGAGGCCGGGAGAGGGAAGUGGAAUUCCCAGUGUAGCGGUGAAAUGCGUAGAUAUUGGGAGGAACACCGGUGGCGAAGGCGGCUUCCUGGACCGGUUCUGACGCUGAUGAGCGAAAGCUAGGGUAGCAAAC